UCCGCAAGCUUCGCCUGGCGUAACAUUUUCCGCACGUGACACUGGCGCGGGUUCCUUUAUUGGAAUUCUCAGUUUGAGACUUGCUGAAUGCAGCUCGCAGGCACUGUGGCGCCACCCACCACCCAGCAACGUUUAUGGCGGCGCAAUUUAUGGAGCUUUUCGAGAAACAAAUGAAGACGUGAGCAAACGAAGGGAAUCCGCUGCCAGAGUAGCGCAUUGAUGCAGCAGUGAGCGUGGUCGCAGCGUACUUCGCAGCGCUUGCGGCACGUUGUCGGACUGCACGCAACUGCAGUGAGUCUGCUCACACGCUGCGCGAGAAGAACAGCAAGAACACGGCAGCACUCAGUGGCUGUCCCGACGGGCCGCGGCCAAAGGGCACGCGUGCGUUGGGCUGCCCCUUGUCACUUCCAGGACCCGGCGAACGCGGCGGCGGCGGCCGCCGAUGUCUCCGCAUUGACGGACAGGCCACACAGCUGUCAGUGGAUGUCGCAUGGCGCACCGGUCUCUCGACGACGAUGGAUCUGGCCUCUUCUUCGUGCUCGCUGCCUGUUUGAGAUGUGUGCGCGCAAUUGUUGCGCAGGUGGACGAGAGUUGCUUACCAGACGACGGCGCGACUGUUGCAAAGGCGAGGCCGGCUGUGACGUGGUGGUUGCAACAAUGACAAUUCAAAGGCGCUGGGAGUAAGGAAACGUGAGCAAUGCGGUUCCGCCAUAUUUUCCCUAGAGAGAGCUACAACACAUCACUGCGCACCAGACGGGUGCGACAUUGACAUUGGGAGCUUGACAAGAGCAGAACGGUGCGUACAUCACGCUGGAGACACAAAGGUAGCUUACUGAAAGAGAAUAAAAACUUCUACGUUUUCUUUC